UAAAACUUAAUAAAUUUGGCGGUAUUUUAAUCUAUUCAGAGGAACUUGUUUUAUAAUUGAUAAUCCUCACUAAAUCUUACUUAAUUUUGUUUAAUUUGUAUAUCGUCGUCAUAAGAAUUUCUUAAAAAAAGAAAAAAUUUUCUAAAAUUUUUAUUAAUAAUUAUGUCAGAUCAAGGUGCAGUUUAUGGUUAAGAAAAAAUGAGUUACAAUAAAUUUAUUUAUACGGGUUUAAAAAUGAAAUUUUUUUAAAUAAGGUGGAUUUGAUAGUAAAAUAAAUAAUUAAAUUUAUUUGAUCUUAGUUCUAAAAUAUGUACAAAUCGCCCG
rnacentral:rRNA from 1 species